ACGUCACAGCUACGUGCUAUUAACACGCAACCUUUCUUCCCAAUUGAAAGUGCUUUACAACCCUAAGGCCUUCUUCACACACGCGGCAUGGCUGCGUCAGGCUUUCGCCCAUUGCGCAAUAUUCCCC
rnacentral:rRNA from 1 species